GCUGCGUGGUGCUUAGUUGCUGGCUGGGGUUAAACCACGACAGAUCCGGCGAAGCAGAGGAGAGGAGCGGUAGCGAGAGAGAUGGUUGCCUUGUGAUUAUCUUCAAGGUACCUAUCUGGUGAAACACAGAAGGGAAAUGACAAGACAAAUCUAUAUCAAAAUGAAAACAACAUUAAACGAUGGAGUCGGAGCAGGGCAGGGAGUAGCACGUAACUCUACAUAUUAUGCUGAUAUACUGGGAGAUUUUUUCCUGGGUAAAUUUUUCCCCUAAACAUUGACAGCCUGGAAAAUUGAAAGAAAAACAUACCAUCGAGAGAUUUGAACCGUUUCCCUUCUGUUCUGGAAAAAGUGCCACGUUAACGCUUUCGAUGCCUGCACCGGGCAGAACAAGCCAUUUACCUCUCAGACCUAGGAGCCACAUCUGGGCAUCCCUUGCGGGGACUUCGCAGGUCGGGGCGGAGGCGAAAGCUGGGCAGAGGUACUGACAGACCCAGUUCUCUGGCUACCGAACCACCACCACCACCACCUACCAGACCACGCUGCUCCCCGGACCGGACCGCAGCCCCCAGGAACGUGCAUUGGGAUAAUACCGUGCGACAAGUCAACUCACAAGUUGGAUCGGCAUCCAGCAAGUUUGAGAGCCUAACCUGCAAAAGAGGCAACGAUCAGAACCGGAAUUAAAUUGAUAGUGAAAAACCUAUUCGCGUUCCCACGUCCGCUGCAGUUUGGGUGCAUAACUCACGGCGGGUGCAUGUCACUGACUUGCAAGAAGUCUAUUUUCUUGGAAUAACAACAGCCUGAGCGAAUACAAUCUUGUCAAAAGAUAAUGGUCUCCUUUCCCCCAGCCUGAACUGAGCAGCUAUUAAAAGCUACCAGAAUACAAGAGGCAAAAUAUUUACUGCAUGUUUAUUUGAACGUGCUACACAGUCACCUUGAAUUAUAAUAGUACUCCUGCUUCUAGCUGCGUUUUUAACCUUCUAGAAUUUUCUUUUCUUCAAGCCACGAGAAUAAAUUAG